ACGGGUGAGUAAUGUCUGGGAAACUGCCCGAUGGAGGGGGAUAACUACUGGAAACGGUAGCUAAUACCGCAUAACGUCGCAAGACCAAAGUGGGGGACCUUCGGGCCUCACACCAUCGGAUGUGCCCAGAUGGGAUUAGCUAGUAGGUGGGGUAAUGGCUCACCUAGGCGACGAUCCCUAGCUGGUCUGAGAGGAUGACCAGCCACACUGGAACUGAGACACGGUCCAGACUCCUACGGGAGGCAGCAGUGGGGAAUAUUGCACAAUGGGCGCAAGCCUGAUGCAGCCAUGCCGCGUGUAUGAAGAAGGCCUUCGGGUUGUAAAGUACUUUCAGCGGGGAGGAAGGCGGUGAAGUUAAUAACUUCACCGAUUGACGUUACCCGCAGAAGAAGCACCGGCUAACUCCGUGCCAGCAGCCGCGGUAAUACGGAGGGUGCAAGCGUUAAUCGGAAUUACUGGGCGUAAAGCGCACGCAGGCGGUCUGUCAAGUCGGAUGUGAAAUCCCCGGGCUUAACCUGGGAACUGCAUUCGAAACUGGCAGGCUAGAGUCUUGUAGAGGGGGGUAGAAUUCCAGGU
rnacentral:rRNA from 1 species